AGAGAGAGGAAAACCACUUUCUCGUUAAAGUCUUUGCCUUGCUUCACAAGUUUGAAGCUUUCCACUACAGAGAGACCCUGAUUCAGUUUACCAGUAAAAGAGAAGAAGCAAAUGUGUGUGAGAAUUGGUGAUUAGGGUCUCACCUCCACUUACAUUGUAUUCUAGCACCUUCAACGAAAGAAAGGGGGUUGACUUGAGAUCCACCAAUAAAGAAGAAAAAUAAAGCUCCUCACUUUGUAUAGAGAAGACGGCAAAGAACUCACUUGAAAUUGCAGAGAUCCCGACGACAUGCUUCAGGUCUGUUUUGGUUUGUAGCCGAUUAAAAAAGCUUUCGAAGACUGAGUGAGAUGGGCUUCGGAUUGGGCUUAUGUAUUGGGCC